rnacentral:rRNA from 1 species
AUCAUGGCUCAGAUUGAACGCUGGCGGCAGGCCUAACACAUGCAAGUCGAACGGUAACAGGAGAAGCUUGCUCUUGCUGACGAGUGGCGGACGGGUGAGUAAUGUCUGGGAAACUGCCUGAUGGAGGGGGAUAACUACUGGAAACGGUAGCUAAUACCGCAUAACGUCGCAAGACCAAAGAGGGGGACCUUCGGGCCUCUUGCCAUCGGAUGUGCCCAGAUGGGAUUAGCUAGUAGGUGGGGUAACGGCUCACCUAGGCGACGAUCCCUAGCUGGUCUGAGAGGAUGACCAGCCACACUGGAACUGAGACACGGUCCAGACUCCUACGGGAGGCAGCAGUGGGGAAUAUUGCACAAUGGGCGCAAGCCUGAUGCAGCCAUGCUGCGUGUAUGAAGAAGGCCUUCGGGUUGUAAAGUACUUUCAGCGGGGAGGAAGGGAGUAAAGUUAAUACCUUUGCUCAUUGACGUUACCCGCAGAAGAAGCACCGGCUAACUCCGUGCCAGCCGCGGC